rnacentral:rRNA from 1 species
UCCCUACGGGAGGCAGCAGUGGGGAAUAUUGCACAAUGGGGGAAACCCUGAUGCAGCGACGCCGCGUGAGUGAAGAAGUAAUUCGUUAUGUAAAGCUCUAUCAGCAGGGAAGAAAAUGACGGUACCUGAGUAAGAAGCCCCGGCUAACUACGCGCCAGCAGCCGCGGUAAUACGUAGGGGGCAAGCGUUAUCCGGAUUUACUGGGUGUAAAGGGAGCGUAGACGGCAGUGCAAGUCUGGAGUGACAGGCGGGGGCUCAAC